GAGAGCACCAAUGGAGUCUUGAACAAGAAAGAAAAACAAGAGAAAAAAGAAACAGCACAGAUUUAUUGAUCAUAUACUCAGCGCUCAAAUUUCUAUAAAAGGGACCAUCACUUUAGGAACAGCAUACAGCCCCCUGCGAGUUGCGCUAAACAUGGGAAACAUUUCAAGCUUCUGCUUCAUGCUCAUAUUGACCGCAUUCUUAUUCUGGCAGUGAUACAAGAAGAUGGCGGCUCUCUUGUCCUUGCAGGACGUCGACGACGAGGAGGAGGUGGAGGAGCAGGCUAUCAUGGUGGACGGAGAGGCGGCCUUGGCGGAGGCGGUGGAGGCGGUCAAACGAGCAUGGGUCGAUAAGCCACUUCAAAACAAACACAUUGGAGGCUGCCCACCGGCGUUGUCAAUAUGCACCCAAUAAACAGCUACAAGCUCGUUCA